rnacentral:rRNA from 1 species
UGAGGAAUAUUGGUCAAUGGACGGAAGUCUGAACCAGCCAAGUAGCGUGCAGGAUGACGGCCCUAUGGGUUGUAAACUGCUUUUGUAUGGGGAUAAAGUGGGGAACGUGUUCCCUUUUGCAGGUACCAUAUGAAUAAGGACCGGCUAAUUCCGUGCCAGCAGCCGCGGUAAUACGGAAGGUUCGGGCGUUAUCCGGAUUUAUUGGGUUUAAAGGGAGCGUAGGCCGUUUGGUAAGCGUGUUGUGAAAUGUAGGAGCUCAACUUCUAGAUUGCAGCGCGAACUGUCAGACUUGAGUGCGCACAACGUAGGCGGAAUUCAUGGUGUAGCGGUGAAAUGCUUAGAUAUCAUGAAGAACUCCGAUUGCGAAGGCAGCUUACGGGAGCGCAACUGACGCUGAAGCUCGAAGGUGCGGGUAUCGAACAGG